GGGGCUGUAACGGUUUCGACAGGCUAGCGAAAGCCGAACCGUGAUGCAGGCCGAGAGUGGGUCUUCUCUCGUAAAAAAAAGGCUCAAAAAAAGUAAGUGCGAACAACAUCGUUCCUUUUGCUCGUAAAGCAGCUGCUGUAGCUGCCUAAGGCCUAGAGAAAGGCUCGAGCGCUCAUAGUGCGACCCCGUUAAGCACUAUGGGCAAACCCCAACGGGUGCUCCCUAAGAUGGUGUCUGGUCUGUCUUAGGGCUAAGAUAAAACCAGAAGUCCCCACUGUCAGGGAUAAAUGACAGUUCCCGCCCCGAGGGUAAGAGGGGCUAAGCCUGUGAGGGAGCGGGAGGUGAAUAGCUAGUCUGGACAGCAGUUCGACUCUGCUCAGCUCCAUAA
rnacentral:tmRNA from 2 species